ACGAACGCUGGCGGCGCGCUUAACACAUGCAAGUCGAACGGAAAGGCCUGCUUUCCCUUGUGGAUUGCGGGUACUCGAGUGGCGAACGGGUGAGUAACACGUGAGUGAUCUGCCCCCAACUUGGGUAUAAGCCUGGGAAACUGGGUCUAAUUCCCGAUAGGACUGCAGGGUGGUGCCUGUGGUGGAAAACGAUUUUCUAGUGGUUGGGGAUGAGCUCGCGGCCUAUCAGCUUGUCGGUGGGGUAAUGGCCUACCAAGGCGGCGACGGGUAGCCGGCCUGAGAGGGUGGACGGCCACAUUGGGACUGAGAUACGGCCCAGACUCCUACGGGAGGCAGCAGUGGGGAAUAUUGCACAAUGGGCGGAAGCCUGAUGCAGCGACGCCGCGUGGGGGAUGACGGCCUUCGGGUUGUAAACUCCUUUCGACCGCGAGGAAGCCACCUGGUUGGAAGGGUGGUGACGGUAGUGGUAGAAGAAGCACCGGCUAACUACGUG
rnacentral:rRNA from 1 species